rnacentral:lncRNA from 1 species
GUGCUUUAUAGAUUUAAACCUUCUUAUGACAGUAUCGUGCAAAAAGUAGUGUUACCCCAUUGAUAUGAGGUGUAUAAACUUUAUUUGUGUCCCUUUCUUUUUAUACUGUUGGCAGCUUUUAAUAUAAUAUCGGUUAAAUGAAUUUAACUUUUCUAGACUUGGUGGGUUGCAAGAUUGUGGUCUCAUUGAUGUUUAUCCCACAUCUUCCUUUUAUUCACUUACAUUCAUUUGUUCUUGAAGGGUUGUUACAUUUAUAUUAAUAAAAGAGGGGCGAAAGAUACCAGAGAGACAGUCAAACUCAUAGAUCGAAAAUAAACUGACAACGCCAAGGCUAA